rnacentral:rRNA from 1 species
UUUAUCAAAAACAUCGCCUCUUGUAACCAAUAAAUAAGAGGUCCCGCCUGCCCUGUGACUAUAAGUUUAACGGCCGCGGUAUUUUGACCGUGCGAAGGUAGCGCAAUCACUUGUCUUUUAAAUGAAGACCUGUAUGAAUGGCAUAACGAGGGCUUAGCUGUCUCCUUUUUCCAGUCAAUGAAAUUGAUCUCCCCGUGCAGAAGCGGGGAUAAAUACAUAAGACGAGAAGACCCUAUGGAGCUUUAGACACUAAAGUGGAUCAUGUCAAUGACCCCUGAACAAAGGAUUAAACCAAGUGGAACCCACCCUGAUGUCUUUGGUUGGGGCGACCGCGGGGAACUAAAUAACCCCCAUGUGGAAUGGGAGCACCCCUCCUACAGCUGAGAGUUACAACUCUAAUAAACAGAAUUUCUGACCAAAAAGAUCCGGCAAAGCCGAUCAACGGACCUAGUUACCCUAGGGAUAACAGCGCAAUCCUCUUUUAGAGCCCAUAUCGACAAGGGGGUUUACGACCUCGAUGUUGGAUCAGGACAUCCUAAUGGUGCAGCCGCUAUUAAGGGUUCGUUUGUUCAACGAUUAAAGUCCUACGUGAUCUGAGUUC